AGCAGCCGCGGUAAUUCCAGCUCCAAUAGCGUAUAUUAAAGUUGUUGCAGUUAAAAGCUCGUAGUUGAAUUUCAGGCCUGGCUGGACGGUCCGCCCUUCGGGUGAGUACUGUCUGUGGUCGGGUCCUACCUUCUGGCGAAGCGUCAUGGCCUUAACCGGCCGUGGCGGGGAACCAGGACUUUUACUGUGAAAAAAUUAGAGUGUUCAAAGCAGGCAAUCGCUUGGAUACAUUAGCAUGGAAUAAUGGAAUAGGACGAUGGUUCUAUUUGUUGGUUUCUAGGACCGUUGUAAUGAUUAAUAGGGAUAGUUGGGGGCAUUAGUAUUCAAUUGUCAGAGGUGAAAUUCUUGGAUUUAUUGAAGACUAACUACUGCGAAAGCAUUUGCCAAGGAUGUUUUCAUUAAUCAAGAACGAAAGUUAGGGGAUCGAAGACGAUCAGAUACCGUCGUAGUCUUAACCAUAAACUAUGCCGACUAGGAAUCGGGCGAUGUUGACAAAAUGACGCGCUCGGCACCUCAUGGG
rnacentral:rRNA from 1 species